CUACGGGAUGCACCAGUGGGGAAUUUUGCGCAAUGGGGGGAACCCUGAUGCAGCAACGCCGCGUGGAGGAUGACGCAUUUCGGUGUGUAAACUCCUUUUAUAUGUCAAGAAAAUGACGGUAGCAUAUGAAUAAGCACCGGCUAACUCCGUGCCAGCAGCCGCGGUAAUACGGAGGGUGCAAGCGUUACUCGGAAUCACUGGGCGUAAAGGACGCGUAGGCGGGUUGGAAAGUCAGGUGUGAAAUCCUACAGCUUAACUGUAGAACUGCACUUGAAACUUCUAAUCUAGAGUAUGGGAGGGGGAGAUGGAAUUAGUGGUGUAGGGGUAAAAUCCGUAGAUAUCACUAGGAAUACCUAAAGCGAAGGCGAUCUCCUGGAACAUUACUGACGCUAAGGCGUGAAAGCGUGGGGAGCAAACAGGGUUAGAUACCCGUGUAGUC
rnacentral:rRNA from 1 species